GACGAACGCUGGCGGCGUGCUUAACACAUGCAAGUCGAACGGAAAGGCCCUGCUUUUGUGGGGUGCUCGAGUGGCGAACGGGUGAGUAACACGUGAGUAACCUGCCCUUGACUUUGGGAUAACUUCAGGAAACUGGGGCUAAUACCGGAUAGGAGCUCCUGCUGCAUGGUGGGGGUUGGAAAGUUUCGGCGGUUGGGGAUGGACUCGCGGCUUAUCAGCUUGUUGGUGGGGUAGUGGCUUACCAAGGCUUUGACGGGUAGCCGGCCUGAGAGGGUGACCGGCCACAUUGGGACUGAGAUACGGCCCAGACUCCUAAGGGAGGCAGCAGUGGGGAAUAUUGCACAAUGGGCGGAAGCCUGAUGCAGCAACGCCGCGUGCGGGAUGACGGCCUUCGGGUUGUAAACCGCUUUCGCCUGGGACGAAGCGUGAGUGACGGUAAUGUGUAAAGAAGCACCGGCUAACUACGUG
rnacentral:rRNA from 1 species